CCUACGGGAGGCUGCAGUGGGGAAUAUUGCACAAUGGGGGAAACCCUGAUGCAGCGACGCCGCGUGAGUGAAGAAGUAAUUCGUUAUGUAAAGCUCUAUCAGCAGGGAAGAAAAUGACGGUACCUGAGUAAGAAGCCCCGGCUAACUCCGUGCCAGCAGCCGCGGUCAUACGUAGGGGGCAAGCGUUAUCCGGAUUUACUGGGUGUAAAGGGAGCGUAGACGGCAGUGCAAGUCUGGAGGGAAAGGCGGGGGCUCAACCCCCGGACUGCUCUGGAAACUGUACGGCUGGAGUGCAGGAGAGGUAAGUGGAAUUCCUAGUGUAGCGGUGAAAUGCGUAGAUAUUAGGAGGAACACCAGUGGCGAAGGCGGCUUACUGGACUGUAACUGACGUUGAGGCUCGAAAGCGUGGGGAGCAAACAGGAUUAGAUACCCCUGUAGUC
rnacentral:rRNA from 1 species